rnacentral:rRNA from 1 species
AGUGAACGCUGGCGGUAGGCCUAACACAUGCAAGUCGAACGGCAGCACAGUAAGAGCUUGCUCUUACGGGUGGCGAGUGGCGGACGGGUGAGGAAUACAUCGGAAUCUACUUUUUCGUGGGGGAUAACGUAGGGAAACUUACGCUAAUACCGCAUACGACCUACGGGUGAAAGCAGGGGAUCUUCGGACCUUGCGCGAUUGAAUGAGCCGCUGUCGGAUUAGCUAGUUGGCGGGGUAAAGGCCCACCAAGGCGACGAUCCGUAGCUGGUCUGAGAGGAUGAUCAGCCACACUGGAACUGAGACACGGUCCAGACUCCUACGGGAGGCAGCAGUAGGGAAUAUUGGACAAUGGGCGCAAGCCUGAUCCAGCCAUACCGCGUGGGUGAAGAAGGCCUUCGGGUUGUAAAGCCCUUUUGUUGGGAAAGAAAAGCAGCAGGUUAAUACCCCGCUGUUCUGACGGUACCCAAAGAAUAAGCACCGGCUAACUUCGUG